rnacentral:rRNA from 1 species
UACNGAANUNUANCCUGCCCCGUAUCGAAUGCAGACCCGGGGUUAAGCCCCGGGCUUUCACAUCCGACGUGACAAGCCGCCUACGAGCUCUUUACGCCCAAUAAUUCCGGACAACGCUCGCACUCUACGUAUUACCGCGGCUGCUGGCACGUAGUUAGCCGGUGCUUCUUCUGCAGGUACCGUCACUUUCGCUUCUUCCCUGCUGAAGGAGGUUUACAACCCGAAGGCCGUCAUCCCUCACGCGGCGUCGCUGCAUCAGGCUUUCGCCCAUUGUGCAAUAUUCCCCACUGCUGCCUCCCGUAGGAGUCUGGGCCGUGUCUCAGUCCCAGUGUGGCCGGUCGCCCUCUCAGGCCGGCUACCCGUCGUCGCCUUGGUAGGCCAUCACCCCACCAACAAGCUGAUAGGCCGCGGGCUCAUCCUGCACCGCCGGAGCUUUCCACCACCAGACCAUGCGGUCGGUGGUCGUAUCCGGUAUUAGACCCCGUUUCCAGGGCUUGU